rnacentral:rRNA from 1 species
UGGCUCAGGACGAACGCUGGCGGCGUGCUUAACACAUGCAAGUCGAACGAUGAACCACUUCGGUGGGGAUUAGUGGCGAACGGGUGAGUAACACGUGGGCAAUCUGCCCUUCACUCUGGGACAAGCCCUGGAAACGGGGUCUAAUACCGGAUAACACUCCCUCUCUCAUGGGUGGGGGUUAAAAGCUCCGGCGGUGAAGGAUGAGCCCGCGGCCUAUCAGCUUGUUGGUGAGGUAAUGGCUCACCAAGGCGACGACGGGUAGCCGGCCUGAGAGGGCGACCGGCCACACUGGGACUGAGACACGGCCCAGACUCCUACGGGAGGCAGCAGUGGGGAAUAUUGCACAAUGGGCGAAAGCCUGAUGCAGCGACGCCGCGUGAGGGAUGACGGCCUUCGGGUUGUAAACCUCUUUCAGCAG